GGCGGCAGCGCAGGGCUGCGGCCGCCGGAGCGGGUGAGGGGCGGGGCGGAGAGAGACCCUGUGGCUGCUAUGGCCGCCUCCCCCUGCCCGCAGCCUGCCUUAAAUACUAUGGAGCGGCCGUAGCUGCGGCGCGCGCCGCUGCCGAGCGCACCAUGCGGGCUGUCAUCGCCUUGGCCGCGGCGCUGGGCAGCUUGCUGCUGGGCGGCUGCCUCCUGCGCCUGGGCGGCCAGCAGCCCCUCCGGGCCAGGGGCUGGGAGGAGGACGCGGGAGCAGCUGCUGUCACGCCGAAAGUGGUGCGAGCCCUCAGGUCCCCGCCGCCGUCCCCUCCUCAGGCCGAGAACAGAACAACUAUUAAUAAACAUGGAAUUUACCAGUUUGAACAGGCUUCAAAAUGUAAGGCAAUUCAGGACAACAUUUUGUCAUCAUCUAUCAAGAAGAAAAGAUAUUCAGAAGAUUAUUAUCUUCACAUAGUCACAAAACUGCAGAACUGCACCUGGAUACGGAGACCAGAAGAAUCUACAAAAUUCAGGUCAGAAUUAGCUUCCUGCUGUGAUGCAGUUCACAAUUUUAUUGCUUCUCAAAACAACACCCCACUGGGAAGUAACAUGAGUUACGAAGUGGACAGUAAAAAGACCAUCCUCAUUACAGAGGACAUUUUUAAGAUGCUGCCUGUGUCCUCUCCUCUGUCAGUCUAUCCCUUCAAGACCUGUGCCGUGGUUGGAAAUGGAGGCAUUCUGAAAAAUUCCAGCUGUGGAGCUGAGAUCGAUCGUUCUGACUUUGUGUUUAGGUGUAACCUCCCUCCAACCACGGGAAGCAUUAGCAAAGAUGUUGGCAAUAAAACAAACCUUGUGACUGUUAAUCCGAGUAUCAUAGCUCAGAAAUACAACAAACUAAAUGAAAAGAAGGCAGAAUUUCUGGAGAACAUUGCAGUCUAUGGAGAUGCUUUUCUUUUAUUGCCAGCAUUUUCCUUCAGAAGCAACACGGCCACUUCUUUUAAAGUAUAUCACACUCUGCAAGAGUUCAAAGCAACCCAAAGGGCAAUAUUUUUUCACCCCAUCUAUCUGAAAAGUCUUGCCCAGUUCUGGAGAACUAAGGGUGUGAAAGCCUACCGGUUGUCAUCUGGUUUUAUGAUCACUAGUGCUGCUCUUGAGCUGUGUGAGAAUGUGAAGCUUUAUGGCUUCUGGCCUUUCUCAAAAUCCACAGAGAAGAUGCCAAUCAGCCACCACUAUUACGACAAUCAGCUGCCUAAACCAGGUUUCCAUGCAAUGCCCAAAGAAUACAACCAGAUCCUUCAGCUUCAUGGCAAAGGCAUUUUGAAGUUGCAGUUUGGUAAAUGUGAAUCAGACUAAAAAGGGUGAUGAUCCUAAGGAGGCAAUUUGUGUAUAUCUCAGCAGUUCGAUGUUGGAUUUGGUCUGAUGUGAUUUUGUGAGCAUUAAACUACAUUAUUACAAUAGAGAAAUAUUUUACACUUGGGGAGAAAAGAAGUGAUUUUUCAUGCAGUGACUGCUACAUUUCCGAAUUUCGAGUAGUCAUUUUUUUAAAAUACAAAAUAGCAUUUAUUUGCAAAAUUCUGAAACUCCUGACUAUUGGUUUAAUUGUAGCAAAGCACAAUCUCAGGAUGGUGGCAAUAUGUGACAUUCAUCAUGUGUUGCUUCUUAAAGUAUCAUUAAAACAUUUUGAUGCAAGAUCUCUGGUUUUGUGAAUACCACAUAAUGCAGGCAAUAGUCUCUGUAUGGUAGCUGCAUGAGUUGGCAGUGAACGUGUUCAAUUAAGAACUUGAUCCUCUAAACACUAGCAUUUGUCUACAUGUGAAAGGUGAUGAGAAGAGCUACAGGAGAGUAAUUAAUUCAGAGCCAUGUCAUUCUUAGUUUGUCCCAGGGUGCACAGAUGAAAAAAUCCCUCAGGUUAGUCAAAUGGUUUAUGGGCUUUCGUUUUGUGGACAAUAGAUAAUACUGUGGAUUUAAUGGGAUCACUCAUGAAUGAUGUUAAUUUUGUAAACAAUAAGGACCAGAGCUGUGUAAUUGUUUUUAAACCCCUCUUCUUGCUUGCGUGCCUGUCUGAGGUCCAGUUCAGCUCCAAAUGAGGACAAUAAACUAGGUUCCAUGCUGAAAUCCCCAGAGUCUUGGUAGGGCAUGACUUUGCACACAUUCCUGCAAUCCCAGAUCUGUAUCUUGGCUGACAUACAAGGUGGACCAUUCAUUAGAAAAAAUAUUGGUACCAAACCUAUAAUUUCUUCUAUUUCUUUUUCACCUAGCAUAGGUCCUAUCAAUAUGUGACUACAGGUAAGGAAACUGCACUCUCAGCAUUAUUAGAAGAAUGUCCCUCUUACAGUCAACCCCAAGGUCUUCUCCUAUACCAGGACAUAUGAGAAAAGAACCUAGAGUCACUUAAUUUAAAACCCAUGCAGUUCUUGUGCUUUAAGUUUCCAUAUGGUCCAGGAAUACCUGUGGAGCAACAUCCUGUGACAAGAAGGUGAAAUAUCAGCCCAAUGGAAAGAAUCACGUUAGCACCUACGGCAGCUAUGACAAGCUAUUGUUCCCCUAGCUAUGGGUUAUAUGUUUUACUGCAGAAAAAAACCCAAACAAACAAACCAAAUAAAAACCAUCAAAAAAUUUGUAAUAACUGGUUUCUGUUACAAGAAGAGUUUCAGUGGCUUUUUUGAGCGUCUGUUGAAUGAUCAGUUCAAAGAUAGAGUGUCUUUCUUCUUUUACAGUCCGAUACUAUUGGGUAUUUUCUUUACUAAAACUCAUUUUGCCACUGUAGCAUUAAAUGCCCAAUCAAGUGAUUUGAAGAGCAUUCAGUAUUCCACUCAGUGAGGAUUGUAUCUGCAAAAAAAUCCUACUGAAAUGAGUUGAACCUUUUAAAAUAAGGUUCAAAAACACUUUUAAACUGAUCCUUUAUAAGAGCAUUUCUAUAUUGUUGUAAUAUUUGAAAGCUUACCUUGGCAGCAGUUUUAUAAUCACAUAAAUAAUCCUGAAAGUAUUAGAAUUAAUUGUUAUGGUUCCAGGUCUGUUGUCUGAGACACAUUCAGUAUCUUGAUACAUUUCCAAGAUAAUGAUAUCAGAAUCCAGUACUACUCCUACCCAAACACAACUGUCCAUAAAUCCUGGCUGCAUAUAUCAGCAAUAAAGUAAAUUUUUUGCAAAAUAAGGUUUUUAAAAAAUAGAUGGUGCUUGGGGGUGUUGAACGACACAACUAAUACAUGAGUGGACCUCUGAAUGUCAGUAGGGCUUUUAACAGAAAAAAAGGCAUCAGAAUUGAGUUGAUGGGUACAUCUGCGCUACCAGCUGGUGACUGAAAGUGGCAAGCACAAGGGUUUGAUUUACUGUGGUCUGUUAUGGCUCCAGCACCACACGUCCACAUUUUGCCUUCACCAGCAGUGAAAUUUGUGCCAGUUUUUGGCCGCAGGCAUCUCUGCUGUUCAUGUGCAGAGAGCUGGCUGCAGCAAGACCCUGCAUCCAUGUUACGUGUUAAGGAUGAUUGCCUACUGCAAGACCCUAGUUAUAGAUCAGAGUCAAAUUUGCUCCCAAGAGAGCUCCUCCUACACCAUAAAUCACUCACGGAGACUGUCCCUGAGUAUUUGUAGCUGGAAGCUGUGCAAAGUGAUGUACAUGUCCUUUGGGUGAUGCAAACAGCCUAGGUUGAGGAAAACCACAUCACAUUUCAUCCAGAGAGGCAAAGACGCACCUGUGUUCAUGCAAGGACUGUAAUUUAAUUUAUUCCAGUCUAGUGUAGUGCAAUGAGAUGAUCUUGGCUGUGCAGCAGCUACAUGCUUUGACUUGGAAAAAUUCAUUCAUCUUUUAGAGAUUGAGAGGAUCUUGCAUUGCGUCUAGAAAAAUUGCAAGUGUUUUGUUGUACAUAGAGGUGAUGCAAAUCAUUCACUGCUCUGAUUAAAUUCAAUGAACUACUCAGCAUGAGUAAAGUGGCAAAACCUGGUUGCGUGUAAGUAGAUGUUGAGUGGAGAAAAUUAAAUUUAUUUACAGAGGAGAGCAACUUUUUUCAAAAGUGUUUGUUAGUUAGCACUGUGUUGCAUUAUUUCAGUAAAUGAACGUAUGCAGUGUACCAGGACACACCAUAAAGAGCUGAAGUUACUGUGUGUCUGGACUAUUUCUGAACAGCUGUGUUAUUUAUAACAAACGUAUUAGUAACUGGAAAGGUUGUUGGAAUACAUUUUAAGAGAGGUUUAGCCAAAAAGAAGAAACAUAUUCUAGUGUCCUUGACAAAAAGAGGUCUUAACUGAAGGAGUGUGAUGUAGCACUCACAAAUGAGAGCAAACAGAAAGCCCUGUGGCAUGGACAGACACUGACUUUUUAGCGCUGUUCUAGCAAAGUUUAAACUUGCUGUUGACCUGAAGACCUGAUCCUCUGCUCUCAAAGCUCUCAGUGAUUUGUGUGGAGCGCAGGACUGACAAGAAAUGCAUGAAGGAAUUGUUAACCUUUCCUACCCUUUCCUACAAAUACUCUUAACUCCUCAUAGAAUAAAAAUAUGCUCUAGUAGACUGUAGAUUAAGAACCUAUUUUUAAUGUAGCUUUCUCAGGCCUUGCUCCAGACAUGAAGUUAUUACAAGAUGUUAGUUGCAUCCACUUCACUCCAGAGGAGUGCAGACCUUGUACUCGGCUUUAUUAUAGCUGCUGCCGCUGUGUGCUUGGUGGUUAGGUCGUGUUAAUUUGUGCAUAGGCUGGACAAGUUAAUAGUGCCUUUUCUGUGUGACAAGGUAUAGUUAGAUUGAUCAAGAGUUGCUGAAAUACACUCACUGUGGGAAAAAGAUGUUUUCUCGGGUAGCUGAAUAAAUUAUUUCUCAUUUAUUGGACAUCUGUGAUUUCUCAUUUAUUUUACAUCUGUGCCAGGUUAAUGAUAAAUAAAUGGAUUUUGUACACCACUGGGAAUGUUUGUGACACUUUUGCAAGGCUGAGCCAAGUGCAGUUUUGAUUAAGGGCUCUUGGCCAAAGGUUAGGAAGGGCCUUUCAGUUCCCUCUCUUUCACAUGAGGAAUAAUCAUUUUUAGGGUUUGUGGGCCUCCAAUGCUGUCACAUGCUGUGGAGUGAAUAUAGAGAUUAAAUAGUUUUCUAAAGAUAGAAGCACUGACAACGUGCUAAUAGUUCCACUGUACCUUUGCAGAGGCUGACGGUGUCCUUGCACAUGACGGCUUCACAGCAUUGCUAGAUUAAAGCCUGCUUGUCUGCUUUUAUUCUUUUUUCUCUUCUGAAUCUUUAAUGUUGCAUCUUCCUUUAGGAUCCAGCGCUGCCUUGAGUUGGUAAUGUCUCUUCCCCCUGGGGGGCAUUAUGUAGACCUGUUUAGUGUCUGUUAGGGCAUUUGUAUGGCAAUGAAUCAAACUCUGCUGUGAUUGCAGCAUAGUAAAGCAUACUUAAAAUGGCUUGGUUUACAUCUCAAGGAAGGCAGCAUGGUGGGAUAUUCACAUUGCCUAAUAGGAUGUGCUAAAUUUGGGCCGUAGCUCCCCAGUGGCUUAAGCUAUAAUGGCUGGCCACGCAGUCCAGUCCUUGUUCUUGCACUCCACCCCUUCCUUCACGCUGUCUCUGUCUCCUGUCUGAUCCUACACUGAGCCAGCAAGAACCUGACAUGGCAACAAAAAGAAAAUUGGUUCUUGCCAACAGAGCCAGGGGAAUUUCAGAGUCAAGGCAAAGGAGGGGGGAGACCAUGCAGAUGGGACUGUAGGGAUACAGCAGGGGCUGUUUGUAACCUGAUGGCUGUUGGACAGGCUCAAUGGUCCCCUGAAAUCUCAGUCAAGCCAGGAAGGUAACAUCUCUGGGGCCCUCCCCAGUCAGAAGGGGGAGAUGAACACCUGCAGGAGCUCAUCCUGGUGGGCAGGAGCCCCAUCUCUCCCUGCGGUGACAGAAGGCACCUAAGGACUCCAGGUGUCUGCACCGGUUGGUUGUUGCUCCCCUUCUCUUUUUGACAUUAAAGUAAUUUUAACAGGCUGUCCACCAUCUGCAGGCUCUGAAAUGAUAGCCAUGAAAAACCUUUGCCUGUAAAUACUAUUUCUCAGUUCCCUGAUAGUAAACUUGCAUAAACUUGCUUGUUAUUCAGCAUGCCUAUGCUUUCAGUCUCUGCUAAUCCCAGCAUUUCAGACAGCAUCUUUAGAGAAGAGAGCUCUGCAACGUCUGGCAGUUUUGAGACCAGUUAAUGUCACUUUGAUUCUCUUUCCUUUGUACAGUAGUGAGAUGUCUGACCAUAUUGCUGUGCCUGAGUCGAGAUGAAAUUCUCUGUCCUGUGUGAUUCAGGAAAAGAAACUAAAUGCUCUGGGUGACCUAGCACCUUCUGUGGGCUCUGCAAACUACUAGAAAAAAAGUAAUCCUGUUGUUUUGUAUGAUUUGAUUUUAUUCAGUGUGGGUAUCUGGAUCGGUUAAUUGCUCCGGGUUAAUGGAUCACUUAGACCUUGACCCUGCACAGACCCCGUGGUGGAGCUAUAGCCUGACACAGCAAUCUAGGUUUAAAAAACACUUCAUCUGGAGACCUUUGUCCUGUCACUGGCUCUCAUGUGAUGAAUCUGUGGAGUGAGAUCCUGAACAUCCGUGCAGUAGCUCUUCCAGGGACUCUCAGGUCCACAAAGCACAUGUCCACUUGUGUACAGCAGUCUGUGUGAGAUGAAGCCCAAGGGAUGUUCUGUGGAGUGCUUAUUCUGAAACAGCUUUAUUUCAAACAGCUGACAGCCACUUGCUGCACACCCUGAAGCACUAGACUUCUUACACAUGAACUUGUUAGUUAACUGUAUCUUAGGUUGCAAUAUUCACAGCCAGGUAAUCCUUCAUCUUGUGGUACUUCAGCAGCUGAUCUCUUUCAUCUCUGGGUCUGCUAGCCAAGAACGGUGACAAAGCACAGGGAAGCAAAGCUGAAUUAGUCCAGAAGCUCACAUCCCACCACUGUCAUUGGAGGAAGAAUGCCGGAUGCGCUGGGAGGAAGACACAAGUAUUAGAAAUGGAAUAACUUUCAUCUUCUAGAUUGCUUUAUUAGGUAUUCUGAGAGACUUCUAGGGCAAAAAUAAUCUGACUGAAUUCUAAGCGCAGCGCUGCAUGUAUAACUCCAAACUUGCAGGGGCAUUAGUUCUUUUUGUUUAGCUUUUAAUUUCCUUUAAAAGGAAGAAAAUUACUCUUGCAUUGUAUGUGAAGAUAUAACAAAUUAAAAACACUCAGUAAUGGUCCCUCAGUUCGAA